UACGAAGGGUGCAAACGUUGCUCGGAAUUAUUGGGCGUAAAGCGCACGUAGGCGGCUUGGCAAGUCGGAUGUGAAAUCCCUCGGCUCAACCAAGGAAGUGCAUCCGAAACUGCUGAGCUUGAGUACGAAAGAGGAUAGCGGAAUUCCCGGUGUAGAGGUGAAAUUCGUAGAUAUCGGGAGGAACACCUGUGGCGAAAGCGGCUCACUGGACCACAACUGACGCUGAGGCGCGAAAGCUAGGGGAGCAAACAGG
rnacentral:rRNA from 1 species